rnacentral:lncRNA from 1 species
ACCUUUUGAAUCAUUUAAUACUACUUUUACUAAUGAAAAUUAAUUAUACUACUUUUACUUUAUUGUUCUAAUUGUUUUUGCCCUUUUGUUCAUUUGAAGCCAUUUUGCUUCUUUGUGUACCAUUGGGUCAAAUAUGAUAUUGCUUCCAAAUUGAUGUUUGACUUGAAUUUACAAACAGUAAUGGUGGUGAAGAGUGUGGUUGAUGUUGUUUUCCUGGAUUGUGUUAUCUAUGUUAUUGUUCUUAUAUGCAACCUUUCAUUUGUGCAUCCGCGACAAAAGAGUUUCUUUUACUUGGUUUGAAUUUUGAACCCUUUUACUUUUGUUUAUUGAAUUUGGUGUUUUUGUGAAUUAUCACUUAAUAUGGAUUAUUAAAUAUUAGUUCACUGAUUUUCUUCCAUUCUAUGUUAAUUUGAUAGUUUCUUGCUCUUUAUUGAAGUCAUUUUGCAUCUAAACAUUGCUAUGUCUAAUCAUUUUGCAGCCACAUCUACAAGUGGAGCAACUGAAUCCUGAUUAAGUCUAAUGGCAGGAUAAAGUUAUUAGCCUAACAUGUUUUCUUUUUCUCUCUUACCACAUGUUUUCUUAAUUGCUAUUGGAACAUGGAAGAAUUCAUCCACAAUGAUUGCAAUUGUAACACAACCCAGUGGAAAUAGAGAAUUUUUGUCUUCCGUAAGAUUCGAGCCCUGAAGAUAAGUAUCGUCUCCAUAUAGUUCCACUACCAAUUGAGUCAUUGGUAAUGGGACUGUGUGGAGGCGGUACUUAUCUCUCAGGUACUUGGCUCAAAUUCCUAUGCCAGUAACGGUAAUAGCUGAAGUGUUACAACUACCAAUUUCAUUACGUCAGUAGCAGUAGCAGUGUGCAUAAGCCUCUGAUUUAGACUUUGGAUUCCAUGUCUUCAAUAAAAAAUUAAAAUUACAUUGUUAAACCAUAAAAAUAAUAUUCUAUGAUACAAAAUAACACAUAAUUUUUAUGUCCUUUAACUAUGAAGGAACAAGUACUGUAAUCAAAGCAAAAACUUGCUUCAGUCUCUUUUGCCCUUUGCAAACUCUCUUUGACUUUAUUUAGUGAUUCAUCUAUCCAUUUUCCAAGAAGACUUAAUAUGACUUAAUCAACAUGAAAGGGAACCAUUUCUCUCACAACUGUUUCUGUUGAUUCUGUUGUUAGUGAGAUCACUUCACUUACAUAUUGCCUCAAAACUUGUCCAUAGCAUGUGUGCCAUUUCCUUAAUGUUGGACUGAAAUGUUGUCUUUCCUUCAUCACCAAAACUUCACUUAAUUCUUUUUUUCUUUCUAAUUCUCCUGACUUGGCUUCACUGCCUCCAAUGUCUUCAUUGCAUAAAAGAAAAAAAUUAUAUAAACAAAGAAUAGAUACAUUAUACUCUCUCCAUUCUAUUUUAGUUUUUUUUUUUGGGAAUCCUGAUUCAGUGAAAGGUGAUUGUGUAAUGGUGGGAAUCUUUCUAAGCUGGAAUGGGAAGAAACAGACUGGGUGGGUAGGGAAGGAUGGGCAGGUGAAGUCUGAGAGGUGCUAGGUGUAGAGUCGGUGUAGUUUUGUCUGAGAGGUUGCUGAAUUUAACUCAUCAAAUUUUUCUUAAUGAGUAAGAGUCUUAUUAUUGUUAUCAUUAUAAUUAACUUUUAUGUGUUUAUUUGUUUUAUGUAACACUCCAAAAAUUGUAUAUUUUAUUUAUUUUUAUUUAUACUAAUGAUUCUAUUAUUUAUAUUUUAUUGUCA